rnacentral:lncRNA from 1 species
CCGCAUCCCCGAUCGUACCUGCACAACAAGAAAAGAAACAAGACAGAAUAUGACAAGAAAAUCUUUGAAAUCACGAAUCAAGCAAGAUACUAGAAGAUUUCUUUUUUACCUUUCUUGUUUCAUGAUUACUAUAGAAGCAAACUCAAAACAUUGUAAAAAGGGGGGGAGAGAACAUAUAUGAAAUAAAGAAAAUAGAAUCAAGGAUUAAAAGGUGAAUCGCAUCUGUUAUGAUCUAUUUUCUAUUUUUGUUUCAUUUAUUUUCUAUUUUUUUAUUUACAAACAACAACAGAAAAGGAGAGAAGGAAAAUAUUGUAUUGAAGGAUAUUAAAACUCACCAAAAAAUCAGAAUACGAUUUUGGGAAGGUUUUUUUUCAUUUUUCAA